AAUAGAUACCCCGGUAGUCCACCCGUAAACGUUGGGAACUAGUUGUGGGGUCCUUUCCACGGAUUCCGUGACGCAGCUAACGCAUUAAGUUCCCCGCCUGGGGAGUACGGCCGCAAGGCUAAAACUCAAAGGAAUUGACGGGGACCCGCACAAGCGGCGGAGCAUGCGGAUUAAUUCGAUGCAACGCGAAGAACCUUACCAAGGCUUGACAUACACCAGAACACCCUGGAAACAGGGGACUCUUUGGACACUGGUGAACAGGUGGUGCAUGGUUGUCGUCAGCUCGUGUCGUGAGAUGUUGGGUUAAGUCCCGCAACGAGCGCAACCCUCGUUCUAUGUUGCCAGCACGUUAUGGUGGGAACUCAUGGGAUACUGCCGGGGUCAACUCGGAGGAAGGUGGGGAUGACGUCAAAUCAUCAUGCCCCUUAUGUCUUGGGCUUCACGCAUGCUACAAUGGCCGGUACAAUGGGCUGCGAUACCGUAAGGUGGAGCGAAUCCCAAAAGCCGGUCCCAGUUCGGAUUGAGGUCUGCAACUCGACCUCAUG
rnacentral:rRNA from 1 species